GGGUUGUGAGGUUAAGCGACUAAGCGUACACGGUGGAUGCCCUGGCAGUCAGAGGCGAUGAAGGACGUGCUAAUCUGCGAUAAGCGCCGGUAAGGUGAUAUGAACCGUUAUAACCGGCGAUUUCCGAAUGGGGAAACCCAGUGUGAUUCGUCACACUAUCAUUAACUGAAUCCAUAGGUUAAUGAGGCGAACCGGGGGAACUGAAACAUCUAAGUACCCCGAGGAAAAGAAAUCAACCGAGAUUCCCCCAGUAGCGGCGAGCGAACGGGGAGGAGCCCAGAGCCUGAAUCAGCAUGUGUGUUAGUGGAAGCGUCUGGAAAGGCGCGCGAUACAGGGUGACAGCCCCGUACACAAAAGCGCAUGUGCUGUGAGCUCGAUGAGUAGGGCGGGACACGUGGUAUCCUGUCUGAAUAUGGGGGGACCAUCCUCCAAGGCUAAAUACUCCUGACUGACCGAUAGUGAACCAGUACCGUGAGGGAAAGGCGAAAAGAACCCCGGCGAGGGGAGUGAAAAAGAACCUGAAACCGUGUACGUACAAGCAGUGGGAGCACCCUUCGGGGUGUGACUGCGUACCUUUUGUAUAAUGGGUCAGCGACUUAUAUUCUGUAGCAAGGUUAACCGUAUAGGGGAGCCGGAGGGAAACCGAGUCUUAAUUGGGCGUUAAGUUGCAGGGUAUAGACCCGAAACCCGGUGAUCUAGCCAUGGGCAGGUUGAAGGUUGGGUAACACUAACUGGAGGACCGAACCGACUAAUGUUGAAAAAUUAGCGGAUGACCUGUGGCUGGGGGUGAAAGGCCAAUCAAACCGGGAGAUAGCUGGUUCUCCCCGAAAGCUAUUUAGGUAGCGCCUCGUGAAUUCAUCUCCGGGGGUAGAGCACUGUUUCGGCUAGGGGGCCAUCCCGGCUUACCAACCCGAUGCAAACUGCGAAUACCGGAGAAUGUUAUCACGGGAGACACACGGCGGGUGCUAACGUCCGUCGUGAAGAGGGAAACAACCCAGACCGCCAGCUAAGGUCCCAAAGUCAUGGUUAAGUGGGAAACGAUGUGGGAAGGCCCAGACAGCCAGGAUGUUGGCUUAGAAGCAGCCAUCAUUUAAAGAAAGCGUAAUAGCUCACUGGUCGAGUCGGCCUGCGCGGAAGAUGUAACGGGGCUAAACCAUGCACCGAAGCUGCGGCAGCGAACGUAUCACCCAAGACAACUUUACGGAGUUGACGAUUGACGGAGCGAAGCGACGUCAAAGCGUUCAUUAAAGUCGAGUUGGCUUAGGGAUACGUUCGUUGGGUAGGGGAGCGUUCUGUAAGCCUGUGAAGGUGUGUCGUGAGGCAUGCUGGAGGUAUCAGAAGUGCGAAUG
rnacentral:rRNA from 1 species